rfam:Moniliophthora roreri strain MCA 2952 kmer90.96544, whole genome shotgun sequence.
GGGCGUUUAGCGCAGUGGUAGCGCGUAUGCUUUGCACCUCCAGUCCUGGAGCUGUUUACUCUGAUAUGUAUAAGGUCCAGGGUUCAAUCCCCUGAACGUCCA